rnacentral:rRNA from 1 species
GACGAAGGGGGCUAGCGUUGUUCGGAAUUACUGGGCGUAAAGCGCGCGCAGGCGGUCCUUUAAGUCUGAUGUGAAAGCCCACGGCUCAACCGUGGAGGGUCAUUGGAAACUGGGGGACUUGAGUACAGAAGAGAAGAAUGGAAUUCCACGUGUAGCGGUGAAAUGCGUAGAGAUGUGGAGGAACACCAGUGGCGAAGGCGACUCUUUGGUCUGUAACUGACGCUGAGGCGCGAAAGCGUGGGGAGCGAACAGG